rnacentral:lncRNA from 1 species
UUUUUGAUGAGGAAUUAAGGAGGAAUGUGCAGUUGAUGUCUACUACACAACUUAUUCUUGUAGACUCGUGUUGGGCCUCCAAGCGCAGAGUUUUGUAGGACAGUAACAAUAUUCUCUCAAGUGGAUGACAUAAGGUUUAUCAAUUUGUGGGAGGUGUAGGAUGAAGAUGGUCUCUCUCAAACAACCAUGCAAUCAAAUACAAGAAAUCUCUUGUGUGCCCAACACACCGAAGACAAUGGUAAAUUGUAUAGGUGCACAAGUUCAACGAAGAGAUGGUCAUACAAGUGUAGUAUGGAUAGUAGAUAUAGGUUUUUGUAAUCUAAAAAUAUAAAAACAGCAAGGUAGGAAGUGAUAAAAUGGAGCACAAACGGUAUUGCAAUGCUUGAAAACAAGGCCUAGGGUUCAUACUUUCACUGGUGCAAUCUCUCAACAGUGCUAACAUAAUUGAAUCAUAUAACAAUCCCUCAAUGUAAGACAAAGAAUCACCCCAAAGUUCUUAUCUAGCGGAGAACAUAAGAUGAAAUUGUUGUAGGGUACGAAACCAUCUCAAAGUUAUCUUUUCCGAUCAAUCUAUUGAGCUAUUCCUUUAAGUGUCACAAAUAGCCCUAUAGUUCGUACUAAAGCAAAACCAUAUGAUACACAUCAACCAACUUUAAUGUCACCUAGAUACUCUAAUGUCACCACAAUUAUCCGUCAGUUGAUUAUUCGAUAUGCAUCAAACAACUUCACAUUCAUAAUAUCCAAUCCAACAUAAAGAACUUCAAAGAGUGCCCCAAGGUUUUAUCGGAGAAAGUAGCAUGGAAACAUGCAUCAACCCAUAUGCAUAGAUUACCCCAAUGUCACCUCGGGAAUCCGCAAUUGAGUUCCAAAGCAUACAUCAAGUGAAUCAAUAUAAUACCCAUUGUCACCAUGGGUAUUCAUAUGCAAGACAUACAUCAAGUGUUCUCAAAUCCAACAAGUAUUCAAUCUGACAAUAGUGAAACAUCAGAGGUAAAAACUCAAUUCAUCACAACAAGAUAGAGAGGGAGAAACACCAUAUGAUCCAACUAUAUUAACAAAGCUCGCGGUACAUCAAGAUCAUGCCAAAUCAAAAACACAAGAGAGAGAGAGAUCAAACACAUAGCUACUAGUACACACCCUCAGCCCUGAGGGUGAACUACUCCCUCCUCGUCAUGGUGGCCGCAAGGAUGAGGAAGAUGGCCUCCGGUGAUGAUUUCCCCCUCCAACAGGGUGUCGGAGCAGAGCUCCAGAUGGUAUUUCAAAGGUAUAGAGGCUUGCGGCAGCAGAGUCGAAGUUCUAGGGUUAUUUAUGAGGGUUUCCCUAUUUAUAAGAAUUUCUAGACUUGGAAUCACGUGAAAAUGAGCUAAUAUGGGCCAACGAGACACUAGCCCACGACCACCCCCUUGUGCGCGCCCUGGUGGCUUGUGGGGAGCUCGUGGCUCUUCUGGUCCUCCCACGAAGCUUCGAGGGUUUCUUUUAUCCAAAAAAAUCGUGAAAUUUUUUCACUGCAUUUGGACUUCAUUUGAUAUGGAUUUUCUGGAAAACCAAAAAAAAACAACUGGCACUGGGCACUAGGUCAAUAUCUUACCAUGAAAAUCAUAUAAAAGCCAUAUAAAAGUGCACCAAAAUCAUAAAAAACUAUAAUAAACAAGGCAUGAAUACUUCAUAAAUUAUAGAUACGUUGGAGACGUAUCAGCAUCCCCAAGCUUAAUUCCUGCUUGUCCUUGAUACUCUCCAAUGUAUCUAUAAUUUUUGAUUGUUCCAUGCUAUUAUAUUAUCUGUUUUGGAUGUUUUAUAUGCAUUAAUAUGCUAUUUUAUAUGAUUUUUGGGACUAACCUAUUAACCUAGAGCCUAGUGCCAGUUUCUAUUUUUUUCCUUGUUUAGAGUUUCGCAGAAAAGGAAUACCAAACGGAGUCCAAACGGAAUAAAACUUUUGUGAUGGUUUUUCUUGGACCAGAAGACACCCAAGAGACUUGGAGUGCAAGUCAGAAGAGCCACGAGGCGGCCACAAGGGUGGAGGGUGCGCCCCCCGACCUUGUGGGCCCCUCGAUGACCCCCUGACCUAGAUCUUCCUCCUAAAUAUUCUCAUAUACCCCAGAAACUUCCAGGGGAGCCACGAAACCACUUUUCCACCACCGCAACCUUCUGUACCCAUGAGAUCCCAUCUAGGGACCUUUUCCGGCAUCCUGCCAGAGGGGGAUUCGAUCAUGGAGGGCUUCUACAUCAACACCAUUGCCUCUCCGAUGAAGCGUGAGUAAUUUGCCACAGACCUAUGGGUCCAUAGCUAGUAGCUAGAUGGCUUCUUCUCUCUCUUCGAUUCUCAAUACCAUGCUCGCCUCGAUGUUCUUGGAGAUCUAUUCGAUGUAAUAAUCUUUUGUGGUGUGUUUGCCGAGAUCCGAUGAAUUGUGGAUUUAUGAUCAGCUUAUCUAUGAAUAUUAUUUGAAUCUCCUCUGAAUUCUUAUAUGCAUGAUUUGAUAUCUUUUCAAGUCUCUUUGAACUAUCGAUUUGGUUUGGCCAACUAGAUUGGUUUUUGCAAUGGGAGAAGUGCUUAGCUUUGGGUUCAAUCUUGCGGUUCUCGAUCCUAUUGACAGAAGGGGAACCAACAUGUAUUGUAUUGUUGCCAUUGAGGAUAACAAGAUGGGGUUUUCAUCAUAUUGCUUGAGUUAAUCCCGCUACAUCAUGUCAUCUUACUUAAUGGGUUACUCUGUUCUUAUGAACUUAAAACUCUAGAUGCAGGCAGGAGUCGGUCGAUGUGUGGAGUAAUAGUAGUAGAUGCAGAAUCGUUUCGGUCUACUUGACACAGAUGUGAUGCCUAUAUUCAUGAUCAUUGCCUUAGAUAUCAUCAUAAUUUUGCGCUUGUCUAUCAAUUGCUCGGCAGUAAUUUGUUCACCCCCCCGUAAUAAUUUCUAUCUUGAGAGAAGCCUCUAAUGAAACCUAUGGCCCCUGGGUCUAUUUCCCAUCAUAUAAGUUUCAGAUCUAUAAUUUUAGUUUCUGAUUUAAUUUCUUUGCAAUCUUUUACUUUCCGUUCCAUAAACCAAAAUAUUACUUUAUCGUUUAUCCAUCUAUAUCAGAUCUCACUUUGCAAAUAACCGUGAAGGGAUUGACAACCCCUUAUCGCGUUGGGUGCAAGUUGGUGUAUGUUUAUGUAGGUAUUCAGUGGCUUGUCACGUAGUCUCCUAUUAGAUUGAUACCUUGGUUCUCGAAACUGAGGGAAAUACUUACUCUACUUUGCUGCAUCACCAUUUCCUCUUCAAGGGAAAAACCAACUCAAGCUCAAGAGGUAGCACUUCUCGAGUAGGUAAGUGAUAAAAGAAAUAAUUUAUGAAUUGUGAAUGCUAGUAUAGUGCAUAAGUUUGAUUAAUGAUAAUUCUAAUCACUUUUCCUAGCAUCAUAACAACGACACUUUUCAUAAAACUCAUCAUGAUAAAGUAGCAAUCAAUUCACAUGUUAUGGUUCAAACAAUGCAUUCUCUUGAAACUUAACAACCUAUGUUCUUAGUCACCAAACAACUGCAAUUCAACUUAUCUCCAAAAAAGUCUAUGUAAGAGCUCCACAUACUCAAUUUUUAGUCUUCUAGAUUGCUAGUACUCAAAGCAUAUUUUUAAAACAAAUAGCAUCCAUCGAACACAGAGAAAGAUAGGGGCUUAAUGUUUCGCCUCCCAACUCAUUUAUCAUAGGGAUAAUUGUCAACAAUAAUAAUUCAUGAUCGAAUAUAUUUGAAUGGCCAUAUGUGCCUGGAUCUUUCCCCGCCACAUGAUACUUGCGAACUAUAUAAUAACUGAGGUUUAAAUGAGAAGGAAUACUAUUGACUCUUUCAUAAAAGUAAAUACAUAAAGUAAAAGAUAGACCCUUCACAGAGGGAAGCAGAGGUUGUCAUGCGCUUUUUAUUUUUGGUUGUGCAAGCCCUUAGUGCAAAGGAAUGUCACGUUAUAUUGCCUCUUGUGAUAGCAACCUUUAUUAUGUAGUCUGUCGCUUUUAUUUCUUUACUAUCACAAGUUUGUACAACGCUUAUUUUCCCUUGGAAUAAAAGAUCAUACAUAUUUUAGGAGCAAUUUUUAUUGCUUUUUGCACCGAUGACAACUUACUCGAAGGAUCUUAUUCAAUCCAUAGGUAGAUAUGGUGGACACUCAUGGCAAGAAACUGGGUUUAAGGUUUUUUUGAUGCACAAGUAGUAUCUCUAUGUAGUACGAAUUUUUGGAUAGCAAAAGAUCCUAAGCAAGCAACACAUGUUGGAGGAUCCAUAACAAUAUAACUUAUAUACAAAUAUACCCAAACAUAACUCAUUAUGUUGUCUUCCUUGUCCAAUUUCAGAUAAUUUUCUCAAGACUAAAAAUAAUUAAUGGGUAUUCACAAUCAUAAAAUAUGUCCAAGAUAAUAUAUUUAUAUGUGAAAAUUCUCUUCCUUAUACUAAUAAUUCAUGAAUUGCUUGUAUGAACGAUAUUGUGAUUGUCAAACUUCAAUAGCUUUUGCUUUCUAAACCCAAUGUGAAGCUACUACUAGGUAUGAUACAAGCAUAUGAAGUACAUAUAAUUUCAACUUUAUGAUAUUCAACUCAUUCAACAAUUUACUCUUAGGAUGUAAGUAAAGCACAAGAGUAAAUGACAAAGUAUUCCAAAAAGAUAUAAGUGAAGAUCAAAUGACUAGUUAAAUAAGUAGGUAGCUAUGUGAGGACUCUCUCUCAUUUUUUUCCAGAUCUUAAGUAUUUUAUUCAAACAAUAAAUAAAAUAAAAUGGCAUUACAAUAAUAUCACAUCUCAUUUGAAGAAGCAAAAACUUAGGCUCAACCGAGACUAAUCGUUAAUUGUUGAUGAAGAAAGGUGGGAUGCCUACCGGGGCAUCCCCAAGCUUAGAUGCUUGAGACUUCUUGGAAUAUUAAAUUGGGAUUCCUUGGACAUCCCCAAUAUUGAGCUCUUGUGUCUCCUUAAUUCCUCUCAUAUCACGGUUUCCUUAAAUCUUAAAAACUGCAUCCACACAAAACCCAACAAGAACUCGUGAGAUAAGUUAGUAUAAAUCAAUGCAAAAUCUUAUCAUUAUCUACUGUAACAAAUCACUAAAAUUAUUAUUCAACAUUGCAUACUAAAUGGCUCUGCAUAUUUAAUACUCCUAUCCUCAAAUAGAAUCAUUAAACAAGAAAACAUAUGCAAACAAUGCAAUGAUAACAACUAUCUGUCUAAACAGGACAGUCUGUAAAGGAUGAAGAGGGAUCCAUAAUUUUUAACUCAAAAAAUUAUGAAAAUUUCCCAGACUUUAGAAAAUUAAUCACAUAUUUAUUGUGUCAAAAUUUCAACAUUUUAUCGUAUUCUGACUUUUCUAGAGAAUUCAGGUAAUAACAGAAAACUUUCUGUUUAGAAACAACACUCAUAUACUUGCAAAUUGAGCAUGGUAAAGGCUAUACUUGACACUUUUAUUGAAAUAAGAGAUACAAAAUAUUGUUCUAAAUAAUAGCAAGCAAAUCUCAACAAUAGAAAAUGAUGCUCCAAGCAAAACACAUAUCAUGUGACGAAUAAAAAUAUAGUUUCGAGUGAGGUUACCAAUAAUGUUGAAGACGAAAAAGGGGAUGCCUUGCGGGGCAUCCCCAAGCUUAGUUGCUUGGGUCUUCCUUGAAUAUUACCAUGGGUUGCCUUGGGCAUCCCCAAGCUUAGGGUAUUUACACUCUUCAUUCUUCUCAUAUCGACAUCUCACCCAAAACUUGAAAACUUCAAUCACACAAAACUUAACAGAACUUCGUGAGAUGGGUUAGUAUGAAAAAGAGCAAAUUAUUUAGUUUGGUACUGUCAAGACAAGAUUCAUAAUUGUUCUUACAUAAUUAUUACUGUACCCUAUUAUUUCUACAAUUUAUGUUUACCAAUAUAAGCCAUAGAAACUAGAAAACAAGCAAACUAUGCAUUGAAAAUAUAAUCUAUCAAAAACAAAACAGUGUGUAAUGAUCUGAACAACAACCAUUCUUAUGUAAAUCCAAAAAUUCCAAAAAAUUAGGACAAAGUAGAAAAAUUUGUAUAUAAAUCAUGUGUAAAAAAUUCAGCUCAAAAUCACGUUCCAAUGAAUUUAAACAAUUAUGCUACUAGGUGCAACAGUUUCUGUUUUUGCACAUAAUCAAGUCAACUAUCAUCCACACCAUCCCAAAGGCUUUACAUGGCACUUUAUUGAAACAAAAGCUAUAAAACAUUAUUACUACAAUAUAUUAAUCAUGCUAACACACAAAAACUGUAGGUAAUAGUGUUGGGUUGUCUCCGAACAAGCACUUUUCUUUAAUGCCUUUUUUGCUAGGCAUGAUGGUUUCAAUGAUGCUCUCAUAGGAGUAAAGGAUUGAAACAUAAUGGGAGCAUCAUGAAAUAUAUGACUAGAACAUUUAAGUCUAACACACUUCCUAUGUAUAGGGAUUCUAUGAUCAAACAAUUCAUGGGAACAAGAAUCAACUAGCAUAGGAAGGCAAAACAAGCAUAACUUCAAAACUUUCAACACAUAGAUAGGAAAUUUGAUAUUAUUGAGACAUGUAAAAGAAUAUGUUCCUCUCUAAAAAUAAUAUUCAGUAGAAUCAUGAAGAUAUUCAAUAAUAUAACUAUCACAUAAAGCAUUCCUUUCAUGAUCCACAUGCAUAAAAAAUUUAUUACUCUCCACAUAAGCAAAUUUAUUCUCAUUCCUAAUAGUGGGAGCAAACGCAACAAAAUAACUAACAUGAGAUACUUGAUUGGCAUGAUCCAAUUGAAAAUAAAAAUCAUGAUGACAAGUUUAUAGCAUACAUGUCAUCACAAUAAUCAUCAUAUCUAGCUAGCAUACAUGCCAUCACAAUAAUCAUCAUAGAUAGCAACUUUGUUAUCAUAAUCAAUUGAAACCUCUUCCGAAAUAGUGGAAUCAUCAUUAAAUAAAGUCAUGACCUCUCCAAAUCCACCCUCAUAUUUAUCACAAUAAGAUUCAACACCCUCCAAAAUAGUGGGAUCAUUACUACCUAGAGUUGACACUCUUCCAAACCCACUUUCAUCAUUGUAAUCAUCACGAAUAGGAGGCAUGCUAUCAUCAUAAUAAAUUUUCUCCUCAAAACUUAGGGGACUAAAAAGAUUAUCUUCAUCAAACAUAGCAUCCCCAAGCUUAUGGUUUGCAUAUCAUUAGCAUCAUGGAUAUUCGAAGAAUUCAUACUAAUUUCAUUGCAAUCAUGUUUAUGAUUCAAAGAUUUUAUGCCAAACAUUUUAUUUAAUUCUUCUUCUAACACUUUGGCACAAUUUUCCGAUCCAUCAUUUUCAAGAAAGACAUGAUAAAGAAGAAGAAUAUGAGGUAACCUCAAUUCUAUUUUUUUGUACUUUUCUUUUUAUGACGAAACUAGUGAUAAAACAAGAAACUAAAAGAUUCAAUUGCAAGAUCUAAAGAUAUACCUUCAAGCACUCACCUCCCCGGCAACGGCGCCAGAAAAGAGCUUGAUGUGUACUACACAACUUAUUCUUGUACACUCGUGUUGGGCCUCCAAUCGUAGAGUUUUGUAUGACAGUAGCAAUUUUCCCUCAAGUGAAUGACCUAGGGUUUAUCAAUCCGUGGGAGGCGUAGGAUGAAGAUGGUCUCUCUCAAACAACCCCAAAAUCAAAUACAAGAAAUCUCUUGUGUCCCCAACACACCCAAUACAAUGGUAAAUUGUAUAGGUGCACUAGUUCGGCGAAGAGAUGGUGAUACAAGUGUAGUAUGGAUAGUAGAUAUAAGUUUUUAUAAUCUGAAAAUAUAAAAACAGCAAGGUAGAAAGUGAUAAAACGGAGC